rnacentral:lncRNA from 1 species
UGUCAGGUUUUAGGUACCCUUUCCCUCCUUUUUACUGCCAAAAUCUAUAAAGACUGAUGCGGGUUUUAGGUACCCUUUCCCUCCUUUUUACUGCCAAAAUCUAUAAAGACUGAUGCAAGAGAGAGGUUUCCAAUAGGGGUGUCCAUGGUCCGGAUUAAUCCGAUUUCAUAAGAAUUCAGUAACUAAUCCAUAUUUAACGAUUCUGAAAAAAUGAGAACCAAAGUCUAAUUAUUACAAGUAUAGAACCAAAAGGAGGAAGAGAGAAUAUUUUUGUAUUGUAGGAAUGCACUAACCAAAUACAUGAAUACCUAUUUAUAGCAAAGAGUAAAAAACACUGAACCCUAAAUAGGGAUAAAAGACCCUAUUGCCCUAAUACAUUACUUUUAUUACAACACUGCGCAGGAACACUUCCCCCUCAGCUGAUGCGAAGAAUAUUGACAGCCCCACUUGACAAGAGAUGACUUUCCAGCAAUGAGGGUCCAAUUAUACUUAGUGAACAUAUCAUGCAUCUGAGCAGAGAUAAAACAAGUCGGGAGUGAUAACCCCUGACGAACUUUUUCCGAAUGAAGGGAAUAUCGACUUCAAUGUGCUUAGUUCUCCUUUGAAGAACGGAGGUCAAGAUAGCAUAAUAGCUGACUUAUUUUCACAAAACAUUAGAUGAGUUUGUCACUGAGAAACCCAACUCGUUUAGAAGUGCUAAGCAAAGAAUCUCGCUAGUUCCCCCCUGAGCUUGCACGAUCUCAACUUUUCGGCAGAAGAUCAGAGACAACUGUUGCUCUUUCUACUUUUCCAAGAUAUGAGAGACUAUCUAAAAGGCACAUACAACCCAGAAGUAGAGCGUCAUCACCCCUUAGCCCCCCCCGCAUAGUCAGCAUCCUGUAAAACAUGAGAGGCCCUACUGAACUCCGGAUUUUAUAGAACAUCCAAGACCCAGGACACGACUUUACGGUAACCAGGUAGAAUGUGCUACACCGCAUCUAGGUGUAGAGGUAACGGCAGUGCAUAAACUGGCUUACAUACUGACGCAAUGUUGAGAUCAGGUCUUGUAGUCCGUCAAGUAAAUGAGACUACCUACAAGUCGCGAUAGAUCGAUGGAUCUGGCAACAAUUCCCCUGACUCGCUUGAUAUCUUCCGAUUUGGACCAAUAGCGUAGAUGUAGUCUACAUCCAAGCAUUCCCGUAUCCUAAAGUAAGUCAAGAGAAUACUUCUUCCGUGGUGAGAGAGAGAUCCAUGGCGAGACCGAGCAAAACCUCACUCCAAGAAAGUACGAAGAGGACCUAGAUCCUUAAUGUCAAAAAACUUCCUAAGCCCACAUUUCCCCCUGAACAUGCCUGAAGCGUCGCUCCCCUGAUAAUAAUACAUCAACAUAACCUGGAUAAUAAUGCACCUACCCUGAGCUGGCGACGAACAAAGCAACUAUGAUCUUAAGUUACAUUGCCUUAAACCCCAUAGACAAAACUACAUUACUGCAGCGGUGGAACAAGCGCCGAGGAGACUGCUUAAGGCCCCAAAUAAAAAAAAUAAAAAUAUAAUUUUUCGGAGGCACAAACUUUCCCUGAGUCUCCCCCCCCUGAGCCCGAAAACGUCUAGGUGGCUUAUAUAUAUAGUUUCAAAGAAAUCACCAUUAGGGAAAGCAUUGUUGCAUCCAAUUGGGUGUAGAGGCCAUGAGUAAGACGCAGCGAGAAAUAAGUAAAGCGAAUGUGUUUAUUUUACAACUGGAGCAAAAGUAGCACCAAAAUCCUUCACUGGAUCUGAGUAAAGCCCCUAAGCAACAAGACGAUCCUUAUAUCGAUCAACCAGCCAUCUGCCAAAUACUGGACACUGAACACCCACUUACACCAAAUAGUGGCGUGUCUCCCUCUCGGCAAAGCAACAAGAUGCCCAAGUCCGAUUGUGCUGAAUGAGCCCCCAUCUCCGCCAUCAUGGCCGAUCCCCAUAGGAUUUCUGGAGAGCUUCAGGUACUGACAGGAACGAAAUCGAAUCAACCUGACUAAAAAAGACUUAGGAAUCUGAAAGACCGGGGUAAACAGAUAUUGUGCAAUAGGAUGAUUAGUACUAUUGAAAAGAAGAAACUGAGGGGGGAUGACCGCACACUAUUAGGAUAUCGAGAGAGAGGGUAUCAGAUCUAAGGGAGAAGACAGAGCCUGACUUCUAAGAGAUGCUGGCAGGGAGCAUGAAUGGUGGCAGGGAGGCAUUCAUUGGAGGUGGAGGGGGCUCAAGUAUAGGAAGCGACGAGGAGUAUAAGGUCAUCUACGGCAAUAUCUCAGAUUCAAGAUUAGGAGAAGAUAGAAUCAAAAAAAAAGGGAACAUUUCCAAACUGUGAAUCUAACGAAUGAUACAUAUGACGAGGGACAGGAUCAUACACAUAUACCCCUUGGCAUCAAGGAAACCUGAGGAAGAUACAACGUACAGCCUUACAUCCAGUUGGUACGGGUAGGGCUCCGAUUUUGGACAAACAUGUGCCCCCAAAGACACGAGGAAUAAUGGUAAAAAUGGUACUAGCUGGCUGCAGGAUAUGAAGAGGAGCCUUGCCUUGAGGAUCUCGACUGGGGGUCCUGAUUAAUAAAUAGUUAGCAGUGAGAACAGCCAUGUGCCGAAUUACUUAGGAACUCCCAUACCCCAUAAAAGAGACACCGAACCACUACAUAAUAUGACGAUUUUUAUAACUCUCCCAGCUACCCCAUUCUGCUCAGGAUGUAAGGACACGUGAGUGCUGGAGUAUACCCACCAGCAUUUAUUAAGUUCAGCACUAAACCAUUCGUGAUAUACUCUCUACCAUUAUCGGACCGAAUGUUACGCACACAGGGUUAUAUUGGGGUUUUUGAUCAUUUGUAAAAAAUGGGUAAAGUGAGAAAAAAUCUCAGAUUUAUUACGGGAGAGAUGGCAUAAGAUAAAUCCAAGUGCAACGAGUGUAUCAUCUAUGAAUGUUACAUAUAAGCGGUGUUAGAGAGCGAGCGGUACUGGAGACAGACCCCAUACAUCCGAGUGAAUAAUGGUCAAGGCACCUGUUGCACAAUGCAAUCACGAGGAAUAUAAUAAAAGAGUGACGGAGUAAUGUUUUAGAUAACUCACAAAUGGCACAUUAAAUUAAAUUUUUGACAAACUUUAAUUGAAAGAGGAAAAAGCCAACAUAAAUAUUGAAAGUUAACAUGCCCUAAAACGAGCAUGCCACACCAUCUAAGGUUCAAAGGAAAAAACAAGACACUUUCAACCAGAAGGGCCUUAAAAUAGAUGACUCUAAACUUGAUGGAGAGAUAAAUAAAUGAAGACUAAUGACAAACGCCAGUAGAUGGUAAAGGAUCCCCAAAGUAGUAUAGGCCAUUUUGCUCCUACCCUUGCCAAAAAAUUUCUCUUCGAAGUCAGGUUCCUGCAAAGAAGCAACGAGAUUGCAAAAAACGACAACACAAUUAAGAUAUUUUAUAAGACGACUAACAAAAAGGAAGAUUAUUAGGCAAAGUAGUAUAUACAUACCCUAUGAAAGGUGAUGUCGGAGGAUAGGCAGCGUCUCCCUGACCUACAAAUGGGAAUGGCGAUCCCAUCAGGCAAUACAAACUGACUUAAUUAACAAGAGUAACAGGAGAGGUAAAGUAGCAAGCUCACCAUUCAUAUGAUUAUUGGCCCCAGAGUCCAUAAUCCAAGUGGGAUGACCUGAUUACAUGAAGAGUCGAUAGAUUCUCUGCAACUAUGGCGGCUGUGGGUCCAGAGGAUGGGAAGCGGAGCUAUCCCCAAGUGUGACUGCAGCUGAGCUAUCUGGAAGCUGAAGUUUUUUUAAAGUCAGUAAAUCGUAAGGUAUGGGGUUCCCCACCUCGGCAAUAAACAGUCGAGAGGUGCCUCUGCCACGCCCUCCUUGCGUCCACGCCCCCGACCCCCCCCAUGAGGCCGGGAAAACUCUGCUGCUUAACUCAGGUGGAGAAUAAACAUCGAAUCAAUGAGGUGAAGCAGGCUUGCGACAUGCUGACAAUAUAGGUGAGCUCCUGAAGAAGCAGCAAAGGCCCUCUGGUACGGGAAUAAUAAUAGGAAGCCUCAGAAAGAGAUGGUAAAAAGACGACGCUUCCACUCAUCACCUCCACAAUAGCAAACGCUCAUAUAGGGAGGAGAUGGGAAUGUAUUCAAAUCUGAGUACGAAGUGUCUCAAAAUCAGAUUUAAACCCAUCAAAAACUGAUAUUUUAUGUCGACGGUCAAGGCCGUUAUCAGGACUCAACUUCAACUGCCCCGCACUAUGGAAAUCACUGAGUGGCUUGUACUGAGACAUACAUAUCCCCUCCCAUCUAGUUUGAGAUACCCAAAAUAAUCAUCAAAACAGAGAUUCCGAAAGUAGUUUGACAGCUUAGAGACCCGCUCGGUAUAGCCUCAAAAACGGGACUCAUUACGAGCAUGACAUACAUCUGGUCAAAGCAGUCCACAAACCAUGACAUGUCAUGAUACAUAAAAUAUAAUAAGACUUCAUCCUCCAUCGAGUUGAACAUCCAGCCCAAAAUAAUACAUUAUCUGAAAUCCAUUCAUCAACCUUGGGAUCAGAUUCAGCAGGUUUUGGUUUCCUUUUCCAGAAUCCAACGGGUCUUCUGCGCUUUUCCACCAAGAUAAAGCUGAACAAGCGAGCCAAGCAAUGAAAGUUCUUUUCCAUUUAACAACAGCUCGUAACACGUGAGCCGGUUGCGAUGAUAGAGAGACAGGAAUUGGGCUCAUAACUGGAAACCGGAUGGUUGGAGCACCUCUUUGAGUGAGUCAGCCAUUACUGUAACACUAAGAACAAAUCUUUUUAAAAAAAAAUUUAAUCAGACAUUUUUGAAGGUAUCAUACCCAUGAUAAGUCUGAAACGGGGGGACAGAGUUGCGCUUGCUAGACAAAGGCAGCAUAUAGUACACAGGGAGGCUGCUUAGGUUUUGGUAGGGGCAGGGGAAGCUUUGAAGUCUCUGUUGUUGCCGGUGCAGGGACUGUCGGACCGAGGAGCACUGCUGGUGUAGGUGCAGGGACUGCCGGUGCAGGUGCAAGGACUGCUGGACUGCUGGACCGAGGGGCAGCUUUGGGGUAGCAGUUGCUGUUGAACUGGGCAACGAUGACUGGACUGAGGCUGCAGCACAGGGGCUGGUUAGAGACAGCGCGCAGGAUCUACAGAUGCGGAUGGCUGGUGUAUGGCCAUCUUCGAAGAAGAAGUGGUUUUAGCCCUGGUAAUUGCUGUUGAACUGGGCAACGAUGACUGGACUGAGGCUGCAGCACAGGGGCUGGUUGAGACAGAGCGCGCAUGAUCUACAGAUGCGGAUGGCUGUGAUGGCAUCUUCGAGAAGAAAGGUUUUAAGCCCCUUGCUUCAUUAAUACAAAAACAAGAAGUUGAAGUGGGACCUCAUCUCCUCUCUCUCCUUCUGGGGUUUAAAGAGAGAGAUAGACAGCUCUCCCCACAGCUGGUAGGAUGCUCCAUUGCUAGUUAAGAUUUGGGCUACUAUCUUCUGCGGCUGGGCUAGGCUAAGGUGAGGGGGCGCGCAAGGUUUAGGGUUUUGACUGCUGGGUUGGGCAAGCUCUGAACCAAAGGAGGAAGAAGAGAAAUAUUUUUGUAUUGUAGGAAUGCACUAACGCAAAUACUAAAUACCUAUUUAUAGGCAAAGAGUAAAAAACACUAGAAACCCUAAGAGGGAUAAAGACCAUAUUGCCCUAUACAUCUUUUAUUUACACAAACUAAACCAAACCGAUUCCCUUAUCGGUUCGGUCCGAUUCGGUUUUGGUUCAAUCCAAUUAAUAUUUAAUAUUUUUAAUAAAAAAUAUAAAAUUACAAAUAAAUUAUUAUUUAAAUAACCAUAACUUCAUUAAUACUUUAAGUCAUGAAACAAAAAUAGUAUAAAAUUUUAUAGAUUGAUCCUUAACUGAUAUUACAUCAACCAUUUUGAAUAUUGCAGAUAACAACUCAUAAAGUUUAGAUUCAUAAUGGAUACACAAAAAAAUUAACUGAUAAAUUUUAGAUACAAAAAGGAGUGAAAUAGUUGUUUUGUUUGAUGGAAACUGAAUGAGUAAAUCCUAAUAUCUAUGGGAAGUGAAAUUACUUUUGUUGGGAGAAACUAAAGUAAUCACGUUAGGUGUGAAUUAAUAUUCUAGAUAAAUAUGUGUACGCGUAGAUAGAUAUAUAAUAUAUAUAUAUAUAUAUAUAUAUAAUCGAUUUCGUUCGGUUCGGUUUGAACUCACGGUUUAAAAUAAAAUCGGUAACCGACCAAAUUUUAUUCGAUUGUCUGUAAUGUUAAAAAUCAGAACCUAACCAUUUAAAGCUACAACCAAUCCCAAAUGGACGUUCGGUUCGGUUCACGCGAUUUUUGGAUUUUUUUUGGACACUCCCCUAGUUUCCAGCUCUUCAAAAAAUUUAGGAUUAUUUAGUACACUAGUACUGUUAUGUAAUUUUUCGGGGAGGUUUCUGUAACUUGACAAUAAUAAAAUUGUUGAAAACAUACAUAUAAUGGUGUCAUUUUUCUUUUUAACAAUCGAACUUAGUUGAAAGCCACUCUUCAUUCUAGAAUGUCAUUUUUAUGUGUUUACAAGAUAUUUUUGUAAUACUCAUCUUUGUGUUCUCUAUCUCUAUCUCUAAUGGAUUCUUUGAGUUCUCUUGAAACAAUAGAAUAUAUAUUCCCAAAUUUUGUUAUGCAUAUAAUUUGGCAAUUUUGAAUUACGUUUGCAAUGUUAUUAUUGCCAUAUUACAGUAUAUUAUGUGACAAUUUAUUUUGAUGAAUUUCGUAGAAUAGAAAUAUGACAGAAUGAUAUCAUCGCUAACUGAAUGACCUAAGCAAAAAAUUAUUACCCAAAACCUCUAAUUUGUUUCACUGUUUUGCACCAUUGAAUAUGACUUAUCCACAGGAUUGUGAUUCUUCCAUCAUUUUCAUUAAUCUGUAGGGCUGAAAAUUAUAUUACGAUUACAUAAAUAAAUAAAUAAGAAAAAGAGAGAGUCAUGUGCUCGUGCUUUCUGUCUAAUGUUGGCUACAUAUGAUGGCUCCAAAGCCGUCUGAGACCCCGUAAACAAGCUAAAUCCGAAACAUUUAUUUCUUCCUCCUGAUUUCCCUAUAAUUUUUUAGCACACCUCUCUCUCUCUCCAGUUAUUUUUAAUGUGGUGUAAAUUCGGCCCGCCUCAAAGAUUUUCGAGCUUGGGUGGGUCCAGUCCAAGUCGGGCUCCCGUCACAGUUUUAGAUCACCUAGUCCGAGCCAUUUGAAAAAUGCCCAAGCCAAGGCUUAACCCACGACUCUAGGAUGUUUGGGCUUUGGGAUCCGGCUCGGGAUUGGGUUUGGUUUUUGGCAUAGUCAAAGCUCGGGCUUUCAUGCUUUGGCCAAAAAUUUACAUAAUUUUCUUUUUUUAUUUUGGCACUAAAGAUUGAUCAUUUGUUUGUUUGUUUCAGUCUAGGCGGGAAGGGGCUUCAGGCGAGCUCAAUUGGGAAGGCGACGUUUGUACCUCUAACAAGUAGGUAGGCCCUUCACUCAUCGACCAAUAUUGUGUAGUAACCGUGGAAUUCAAUGCGAUGUUGGGAAGCGUGGUAUAUUCUAAUUAGAAAAAGAGGCACGUUUGCAUAAACAACGCAGGUGAGUGAUAAGCGUGUGGCACUUCGGGUUAACCCGGCCCCAAUCGAGAUGUUCUUCACUGGUGUCAAAAUUCCAUCAUCCCUCUCCACUAUUGUAAUUAAAGCCAUUUUGGUCCUAUGUCAAUCUUUUACCAUUGAAUUCAUUUUCGGAAAAGUUUCCAUGGGUGACUUUGCAAAUUUAGCUUUUCCAAAACUUAUACCAAAUUGCAAACCAAUCACUAGGCAAGGUUUUUCCAAAAUCGAUCGAGAUGGAUUUUUAAAACAUGUAGCCAUAAGAUUGCCGUUGGCUAAAGUUUGUUUUGUCAAUAAAGAUGUUCGAAGGCUGUAUUUCAAUCAGGAAUUUAUAGAGAUAAAAUAAAAAAGUAUAUCUUUGUAAAAAAUUUAUAGAAGGAUUUGUAAAAUCGCGUCAGGAAUUUUAUUGAGGAAGCAAAUGAAAUGAAGAGUUAAUAAAUACUUUGUCCAGGAAUUUUGUUCCCAUGCAGGAUUUCCAUUUCCUGGUAAAUAAUAUCCAUGGUUUCCUGGUCCUGAACCAGAGUGAGAUAUCAGAUUCCACCUUCAUGGAUAAUUCUAGGAGAGGUGUGUACGGUCCUGCUCAGGUUGGCUUAGAUUUUUAGCUGUUUGUAGGCCAAAACAGCCCAGUUCUUUUCCCCAGUUUGGUUUGAUUUGUUUUGGUUUGACAAAUAAUUUUUUAGCAUGUUUUUUCGGGACUUAGAUUGUUUUAGUAAAUCCAACAAGCAAGCAAGGAAUAAUCUUUUACAAAUUUAUGACUAAAAGAUCAUAUGAUUUUUUAGUCAUCCCAAGUAAAAAAAAAAAAUUGAGUUUUUUCUCACUUGUUAAAUCAAGGAGUCGGAUGUUAUUCACCCACUUGUCUACUUAUGAUGGCUAUGUUGCUGGCACAAAACGAGUUACGUACUCUGUCAACAUCAAACACACACACAAGACAAGAUUAUGUGGUUUCGCCAAACAAUGACCUACGUCCACGGAGAUGAUCUGAUAAUUCCACUAUCUCAGGAAUGAAUUACAAUGAAUAAAAAGGAGGAGAUCACACUCAACGCACUCAAUCAUCUCAUUCUCAAUCUCUCAGUCUUGCUUCUUCUCUACAGCCUCUCACUCUGGAUGCUUUAAGAGUUAUCUACACUGCCCUGCACUAUACUCUCUCUCUGGCAAACCAUCUCAAUUAAAGCCUCAGAGCAAAGAGAUGAGCUCAUGGCUGAGUACAUUCGUGCCUCCAUUCUUUGACCAUGGCGAGCCUCCAUUCUGCGAACGCUCGUAGCCGCAUCAACUUCUCUCUCUGUCUUCUUUCCUUCUCCCUUUCCAUUUACAUCUAGAAGGAAGAAGGAAGAAGGAAGAUUGGCAAUGGGGCUUGGCUUGGGCUUCAAUUGGCUGGUCCAAACAAUCUCCCCAUCCACCCAUUGGGAGGGUUAAUUUGAAAGCUUCAAGUUAGCAAUCCCGACAACUCUGAUCCGCUCCCCCGUAAGAUCUGCAAGACGUUAUCCGAGAUACCUUUCCAUUCAUCAAUGGGGCAACGCACUUCCAGACUGAAGGCCUGCACCUCUUCAUUAGGUGCCUUGCUCUCCCUCACCGGAGAGAGCCGAAAGUACAUCACUUUGCGGUCGUCGUGGUCCCCUCUCCUCCCGGGUACAUAUUUGAAGAGAUCACUGCCACAUAAUCAAAUCGAGCGCGAAAGAGACUCGUUUCGGCGACGUCACGCCUGUCGAUGUACAAUCGUCAAAACGACUUUGUUUCCUUCCUCUGGGUUUUCCUAUGGACAUCUGCAACGGUCGAACCGUUUGUCUGAUCAAACCUUCCGCACGUGUCUCAAAGCAUUCCUUGCGCUCUUGUACACUCUGGCUCUCUAGGUGUUCCUGCGCUUGCUUUGUGGUGCCUGUGUGCACCUGUGCUUCCCUGGUCCAUAUGCCUUCGUAUAUCACUGGACCAUGUCGGACCUUUUCUUUUUUUUCUCAGCUAUCUGUUCUGAACAACUCCCCUCCAGUCGAUAUAGUCCUCUUGUUCCUUCCCCUCAGCAAUCUCUUGUCCUUGGAAAUUCUCAAGAUUCCUCCCUUAGCUGCAAUACUGCAACCCAUUGAAUCUAGCAUCCGAUGGAAUUCAAAUUUUCCGUAGUUUGGGAACAUGCCGUUACCUCGCGCAACUCACAGACUCCCAUCUGCCAUGCGGAACCGGACUGUUCCCUUGCCAACAACUUGGUUCGUCGUGUUAUUCGCCAUUCGGACAGUCCCUCGGCAUGAUACGUAUAUAAGAAAAUCUUCCGGUCUCUCCAAAAUGUUGGCACUUCCUAAAAUCCAAUACCCAGUCUGGCUUUAUCUGCCGAUGAUAAUAGGAACGCCUCCAUUAUUGAAUCUGUCAUCAUUGAUUGCCGAUGUUGAUGCGGUCUCUGAAGGACUGCAUAUGUGUUUUAUACUUUGGGGCAAAUUUCCUCUUGAUAUGCCUUUCUUGG